UACGAAGGGGGGCUAGCGUUGCUCGGAAUCACUGGGCGUAAAGCGCACGUAGGCGGAUCUUUAAGUCGGGGGGUGAAAUCCUGGAGCUCAACUCCAGAACUGCCCUUCGAUACUGAGGGUCUCGAGUCCGGGAGAGGUGAGUGGAACUCCGAGUGUAGAGGGUGAAAUUCGUAGAUAUUCGGAAGAACACCAGUGGCGAAGGCGGCUCACUGGCCCGGUACUGACGCUGAGGUGCGAAAGCGUGGGGAGCAAACAGG
rnacentral:rRNA from 1 species